UCCCACAGUCGGAGGGCCUCAGUCCCCAUCCCGGCUCUGGGGAGCAGCGGCUGACAGCGGUAGUGACGGGCGCCCAUCCUCGGCCUGCCCGGGCCUCUGUCUCCUCGUCCAGAAAAUGGGCGCUUUGCUGCCUGACCGUCCCUCCUAGCUCUGAAUCUCUCCAGAGAGGCCAUUACCCCCAUCUGCUCUUCAGCCUGGCGGCAGUCUGGCCCGUGGAGACAAAACCCCGGGCAAAGGCGGAAGCUUGACCCAGAGGAACACCUGCUCCCCUUCCCCGGUGUCGGAGCCACUUGGAGUCGGAGCCUCGGCCGGCUCUCUGUGCCUCCUGCAGGGGAGGUGGCCCCCAGGCCUCUGGAAACCGAAACGAGCUUCUACAGAGAGCGGCGAGAUUUGGGGGCGGCGAUGUCAGGCCAGUCCAUCACGCCAGCCCACAGCGGAGCAGACACUCGAUAGAAAGGAGGAUACGGAAAGCCACUGCCUGAGCCUAGCCCGGGAGGGGGAGGAGCCUAUGGAGAGGCCCUGCACUGCCGCUGUCACGGAGAUCUGGCGGAAAGGCAAAUGGCAGCCCCUGGAAUGGUGAGGAGCCCCCGGCCUCCUGGAGUCCAGCUACUGGCACUGGCUGACAGGAAGUGCCUCUGAAGCCCCAUCAGACCAGCGCCUACGAAAGGGUCAGCUGACUCGCCACUUUGCUCAUUGGUCUUCCCUUUGGUCCCUCAGUUUAGGGGUGUCCCUCCGCCAUAGGAACACCGCAGGGUAAGUAAGACAAGGAAACGGGCGGCUGAAGCACAGAUCAGAAGAAAGAGCUGAUUCUCGGAUGGGAAAACCUCUUGAAAGCUCUUCUAGGAGGGGCAGCCAGGUGGAUCAGUGGCUGGAGACGGGAGGUCCUGAGUUCCAAUCUGACGUCACAUUUUCCUCUCUGUGUGAUUUCAGGCACGUCCCUUGCCCCUCCUUGCCCAGCCCUUGUGGCUCUUCCGCCUCGGUACCGGUACUUCGUGUUACUUCUUAAAGAGAAGGUGAGGUUCAAAAGUAAUAAAAAGAAAGAAACCUCUGAGGCUUUGACUUCCCAGCAGGGCUUCAGCUCAGCCAGGGAAGGGGAGAAGAGAGAGGGACGGAGAGAGAAAUGAGCCCCAUUCUUCCAUGGACAGGGAGCACAUUUUCCAACAUCAGAUCCUGCCCCCUUGAGGGGGAAUUAAGAGCCUUUACCUGAGUGGCCUCCAGACAAGCUGCCAUGUUCCAGUGGAUCCGUCAUGGAGGAGCGUUUCUUGUCCACCCCCCUGCAUGCUGGGGGGCUCCAUAAACAGGCAGCCUUUGCCCUCAAGGAGCCACCAUUGUUAGAAGAGAAGCAGCAUGUCCUGAGGAUAGAGAGCCAGCCUGGAUGUUGGAAAGACCUGGGAUUAAGGCUCAUCAAUUAGAUGUUCUGGCUUGGGUGAUCCUGGGAAUAUAUCGAACCACCAUGUUCAUGUAGCUCUGUUCAAGGGAAGGAGUGAAGAGCCCUUUGGAGGUGGAGAAUGCAUCUCCCAGAGUAUGUCACAGCUGACAAAUGAUGCUAGUUCCUCGCCCAACUGUGGCUCAUCACAGCAGUCCUAAAGAAAUGUUGAAAGAAUUAAUGUCAAUCAAUCAAUCCAUCAGUCAAUCAAUCAGCAUUAUUAAGAGCAUCUAGAUAUGGCUCCACUUUCUCUGGAAAGAGAACGGAGCCCAUAGUCACAAUUCCGAGUUUUUUGUACUGACUAAAGACUUCUUUGCCAUCACAGAGGCCCAGGGAAAUGCUGCAGAAGGGCCCUCACAGGCUGGCACAUUCACAUGCCCCUCUUGCAAUUCUGGAAACACAAACCAUUCUCCUCUUUUACCCUUGGAUGACCAGUGUGCUGACUCACAGGGCUCAUCAUGUCUCUUAAGAAUAAGAACAAUUUGACUGCGAAGUUAAAUGUGGAGUUUGUUAUGGGCAUUUCCAUUAGUUUUGGCCCCAAGUACUGAGCUCUCCUCCAAUAUUCCAAGAUUCCCCCAAUGAUGCAGUCCUCAGAUGACCUUCUUAUGUUAUGUAUGAUCACUAGAAGUCCAGAAAGGUCAAGAGAAGACCAAGACAAGCCCUGGCUCCCCACAUGCAGACAAUGGAAAUCCAUGUGGGGCAUGACCUUUACUCCAUCAUCUACCUAUAGUGCCAUGUUCUUCUAUUAUCCUCACCAGAUAGCUUCCUAUGGCACCAUGCUUUUAACACGGUGCCUGAUACAUGGUAGGGGCUUAAAAAUGUUUGCUGAUUGAUUGCUUUUAGUUGUCUUAAUGUGAGACAUAAUUCACAUCUGAGACAACUGCCAAUACAAAACAAGGGACUCCAUAAACAGAGAUCCAGAGCUUAAAGGAAUCUCGGAGGUCACCUAGCCCAACCUCUUCCAAAUAACUGGCCCAAUGUUACAGCUGUGUAAGUGGCAGAGCUAGGAGUAUCACCCAAGGACUCCAACUCUAAAGCCAACAUAGUCUACAGAAGCAAGGGAUGAACUGGGUUCCUUCUUCACUUGACACCAGGAACCAUGAUUGGUCCACCAUCACUCCUGCAAUUGCAACAUGCUUUGCUGGACUUUUUAUGGUUAGGACUUUCAAUUAUUAGCCAGAUGGUCACAUGGAAGUUUGGGAUCAACAAAGGGAUUGGGAGGGCCAGGGUUUGAAAGUAUGGGCUUUUUCAUGCAUGUAUGUCUAUAUUGGAAGUCCUCCAAUAAAUGUCACUUGAUCAUUUGUCAAAUAUGUUGGAUAGGUUUCUCCCCACUUUACCCCAGCUCACUGAGGUCCUUUCAACAUCUUAGAUUCUCUGUUUAUGAGAAAUUAGAUGGCAUCCCUUCAGUUUUUCAAGGUCAAGAAAAUUAAAGAUGGAGGAUCAAAGUCACCGCCCACAGAGAUCAUAACUGGUGUUGGCUAAGGUGCCAGUCGAAAAAGGUUGAAUUAUGCGCAAUGAGAGUUAUGCUGAAAACAAAGUGACCUCACUGGCAUUUCAUCCCAUCUUUCAGUUCCUGCAUGCUAGAUCAAUUUUUUUUUCACCAGUUCAGCUAUUCCAAUAUAACAAAUUGGCCUCAUCUCCAUUGGUCAGCUCCUUCCUCUAAUGCAGACAACUUAAUGGAUUUUAUUUCUAAAUACAGUAUGGUUUGUUUCGGAGUAAUUUCAACUUUAGGUUAUUGUACAAAUUAUGCCCUCCCUGGAAAUGGAAGCCUGUUGACCACUGAAACAGAGAAGUCUAAUGGAUGACCUAAAUCAGCCAAUUGUGCCUCGCCAGCAAAGGUCAGUUGGCUUGAGUUUUUUAUCCUUUUAGAGAUAUGAUACUAAUUCACAAAUCAAGUUCUCCCCCUAAUGGCCAGAUGGCUUACAGAGAGGCUGGGCUCCAUGCUUAAUAGGCCAUUAUAACUAGGCUGGCAAUGCUUCCCUCUGGCUGACUGUAUUGGAAUGGAGGGAGGAAAAAGACAGAUAUUUCAACACAUUAAAAUGGUGUUAAUCGGAGUGUGUUCAAGCAAUGAAAGACUGACACAAAACUGCCCCAGUUAAAUAAACAUUAUCUGUCAAGAUCCCAUCCAAGCAACUCCACGAAAGAUGUUGGUGUCAUGGAGGGGCAUUCAUUCCCACUCCAAUGAUCCCUCACAGAAGUCGCGGGCUCCCUGGGCCUCUAUCCUUGGACAGCAAGGAAGCAGCUAUUAGGAAAGCGUGCAAAAGAAGGGGUACUCAUGUGGGAUAGUUACUGGCUCGAAACAAUUAUUGCAUUUCAAAUGUUUCUAAUCAAAAUUAAUCUGCCUCAUCUCUGAGAGAUGGCCAAGCCUUUGUCACAAGUCAAAUUAUCCUGAGAGACUGAUUUGGGGGCAAAAAAGUGUUCGUUAUUAUUUUAUCAUGUGUAUUAAUCACACCUACAUUGUUAUUAUUAUAUAUGUUUAUUAUUGUGACACCAGGUUUAUUAGGUAGGUCAGCAAUACAAACUGAUGACGUGAUAUAGGUCUCCACAGUCAUCUCUUGAAAACCAGGAAACCGGGCUGUGCUAGCCAGCCUAAUAAACAGAUUGGGGGAUCUCAUUAUUCAACCUCUCCCUUGACCAUUCCAAGACAUCCUGCACUGGCGAUAGCUAAUUAGGAAGUGGUCCAUCAGCCUCUCCUCCCUUCCCCACACCUGUGUCAUGGGAAAGACAUAGCCAGCCAAAGAACCCUUGUCCCCUUCAAUUAUUACACCAACUCUGUUAAGAAGGUAGAUGUUCCUUUGAUUCCCAAGGACAAAGAAAAUGUGAAAAGGAGCAGACUAGAUGGCAUCUCUGACCCAGAUCCCAGACACGGGAAUAUUUAGCAAUUCCCUCUAAUAUAGAGAAACAAACACAGCAUAUGAAAAACAAGUCUCACCCUGUGACAAAAUUCACUGUUGCCAGGGCAGAGUCUCGGGGCUCUCUUCCUUGAUCUCGGGCUGACUUUAGAUGUGACCUUGGGCAUGUGGUGUCCCCUUGCCCUUGUAAGGAGAAGUGGCAUUCCUCAGCUGACAGGGGAUGGGAAUUAGACGUGACAUCGAGGAAGCACUUUCAAGUCUGCACAAUACUUUCCACACAUGGGUCCUUGGAUCUGAUGCUCUGAGUCACUCACUGAGAGAGGGAGGCACUGUCCUGGCAUGAGGGCUCCCACUUUGUAGGUGACUAAGCUCAGAUCUGACAGCUAAGAAAUGACAGAGGAGGAGUUGGAACUCUGGUGCUCCUGAAUCCAAGUCUGCUCAUGCUGCCUCUGAAGUAAGAACAAGAAGCUUCUUUCUUUAUCACAUUUGUUUUUGUGAAGCUCAUGUUACUUUAAUGACAAAUCAAGCAUCAGGAGGAUUCAGGGAGAGAUAAUGUGGUUCAGUGGAUAGAGCACUGGAUUUGAAUUCACAGAAGUCGGGUAUAAAUUCUGACUAUCACUGUCUGUAUGACUUUGGGUAAAUUUAGGGUUCUCUACAUCUCCAUCUCUCUAACAAUGCCCUUCUCUGUCUCUCUCUCUCUCUCUUCUUUCACUCUUUUCCAUGGUUUCUUAUUUUAACAAGAAACAUUUUGAGAUGAAAGAUUCUAACUCUAGGGGGCAGCUAGUGUGAUUCAAUGGAUUGAGAGGCGGGAAGUCCUGGGUUCAAAUUUGACCUCAGACACUUCCUAGCUAGGUGACCCUGAGCAAGUCAUUCAACCCCCAUUGCCUAGCCUUUAUUAUUCUCUCUUGGAACCAAGACACAGGAUUGAUUCCAAAAUGGAAGGAAAGUUGUUGGUUUGUUUGUUUGUUUUUUUAGUGAUUCUAUUACUAAUGAAAAAUGGCAUUACUUCUUUCCUAGUUUAUUGCUAAUAUUGGUAUAGACAUGUUAAAUAUUUUAUGACCAUCUUCCCUUCUAUCUCUUUCCUCCCAAGUGAUUCCUUCCCUGAUUCUCACAAACAUACCCAGAGGUUUAAGAAAAAGCUGGUUUGGCAGUCCCUAAAGUUCUCAUCCCAUAUCUUUCUUCAUUUUUAAAGCCAACCACCUGGAGGUUUCUGUUUUUCUCUAUUUCCUCUUCUCUCACUCAUUGCUGUCUGAUCUCUAGGUUUAGAGGGCUAUUCCUUCAUACCAUAGGUGCUUAAUGGAUGCUUCUUUAUGGAUUGUGAUGAAUUUGGAGUAGAUGAUAAGGCUUUGAGGAAAAGAAAUCCCUUAG